ensembl:miRNA
UCGACCGGACCUCGACCGGCUCGUCUGUAUUGCCAAUCGACUCGGCGUGGCGUCGGUCGUGG